CAGUACCCACAUCAGUAUGGCUAUGCAAGUGGAAGCAGCAGUACACCAAAUGUGCAAAACUACCCUCGAAAAAGUCCAUCACAUAGCUCUACAGGUUCUUCAGCGGAAGUAGAAGACAUAGAAGCAAUAUAGUAUAUAUUAUAUAAUAUAGGCGAUUCAAACCACAUUGAAGAUGAGGAAUGACUGGUUACCAACUUAAUGUUACCUUAUUUGUUCCUAAUUCAAUUUAAUAAUACAGUAAUUUUGAAAAGUGAUUGUUAAAUUAAAAACUAUAAAUGCGAAAGUGACUUUGUAUUAAAAUAAAAAUAACAUAUCUUUUCGGGUUUAUUUAUUGUAACUAGCACACACACUACACCUGUAUAUUAAUGUAAUACAAGAUUUUUUUUAUUAAUUUCAGAAUGUCUUAUAAAAUAGUCCAGACUUGGGAAUACAACAAACAUAGAUUGUUAGCAGUACCAUCAACAUGGGAAGAUAACAAUAUUUUAAAAUAUCUGAGAAAAAACAUAACUAAGUACUUGAAAAUUGGGACAUUAAUACCAGAACAUGACUCGAAACAAAUAAAAUGUGACGUUAAAUGAAGAGAGCUACCAAGCUACGAGACAGCCGAAUACGUCCUUCAAGAAAUGGUUAAUCAUACUGACACUGAAGAUGAUACCACAAAUUCAGCUUCUUCUAAGCAGUCCAAACCUGAAUUAAACAUGAAUAUCAUCGCUGAUGACAUCGAAAGUUAUUUUUUGUUGUUGAUAUUUUAGAUAUAAAAGUCAAUAAAAUACAUAUGUUUCAUACAAAUACAAAGUUGAGCCCAAAAUCAAAAUUUCCGGCUAAUAAAAAACAGGUUUUUACCUAUUUAGGACAUCUUUUUGAGUAUGUAACAAAUAAAGCUAUGCUACGUUCGUUUGUGGUUAUAAUUAGUAAUCCAAAAAAUGUAAUAAAAUUCGAUGCCAUCAAUUUACCACCAUGCAAAACUGAGUUAUUUCAACAAUUUCUCCGAGCUAAUUAUAUUACCAGCAUAUGGAAUAAUGCAAAUGAAAAACGACCGUCUACUUUUACUCCUGAAAACAAUGGAUGGACGUUUGAAGAUAACCAGUAUCAUUUUUAUUUAUUUGAUGGUGACCAAUUACCAGGACUCGUUAGCGAAUCACUUCAAGAAUCAGAAGAUGCUACCAGCAACAACAAUAUAACUAGUGAUGAUGAGGAUGAUGACUUGAGUGGACAGUAUCGUGAUGUACUUAAUGAUGAAAAUUCAAAUGAUUAUUAUGACGAUGAUGAAGAUGAUUAAGAGACAAUCAAAACACCAUCAACGUCAUCAGAAUCACAUGAUUCACAAAUACCAAAGGAACCUUUUGGAGAUGAAACAACACCGGAACUACAUGAAGCUAUCGACAACGAAAGAACUGAUAGCGAAGUGAUGGAAACAUUACAAUCGCCAAGGACUUCAACCUCACAGAUGCAGCCUACUCAAGCAAAAAAUAGCCGUCGUCGCUCAGUACCUAAUACAGCUGAGCAGCAAAUGGCUACAGCAUUCGGUCAAUUGACUAAUGUUUUAGGACAACGUCAAUGACAUACUGCAAUUAAAGAAGAUGAUGACUGCGAUCUCUACGCCAAGCUUUUGGCUACAAAACUGCGAGAACUGUCUAAAGACGAACGUAAAUUAAUAAUGUAUGAAAUAGAUGCCAUUGAUUUGUUUUUGGAGAGUAUGGCGAUCACUAUUA